AACUUUGCACAGUGGCAGUAUCAUAGCCAAUGAGGUUUAUCUGAGGUGCAAUUAUUGCUAAUUUUAAAAAAAAUUAGAACUUAUUCACUUUCAGCUAGGGAAUGUUACAGGACAAUAUAUACAUUUUUGCUAGUCAUAUCUGCCACAGUUCAUCUGAUAAGGUGA
rnacentral:snRNA from 1 species